UGUGAAAAGAGUGACAUUAGA
rnacentral:piRNA from 1 species